UGAUGGUGCUUGCACUAUCACUUAGCGGCGGACGGGUGAGUAAUGCUUAGGAAUCUGCCUAUUAGUGGGGGACAACAUUUCGAAAGGAAUGCUAAUACCGCAUACGUCCUACGGGAGAAAGCAGGGGAUCUUCGGACCUUGCGCUAAUAGAUGAGCCUAAGUCGGAUUAGCUAGUUGGUGGGGUAAAGGCCUACCAAGGCGACGAUCUGUAGCGGGUCUGAGAGGAUGAUCCGCCACACUGGGACUGAGACACGGCCCAGACUCCUACGGGAGGCAGCAGUGGGGAAUAUUGGACAAUGGGCGGAAGCCUGAUCCAGCCAUGCCGCGUGUGUGAAGAAGGCCUUAUGGUUGUAAAGCACUUUAAGCGAGGAGGAGGCUACUUUAGUUAAUACCUAGAGAUAGUGGACGUUACUCGCAGAAUAAGCACCGGCUAACUCUGUGCCAGCAGCCGCGGUAAUACAGAGGGUGCAAGCGUUAAUCGGAUUUACUGGGCGUAAAGCGCGCGUAGGCGGCUAAUUAAGUCAAAUGUGAAAUCCCCGAGCUUAACUUGGGAAUUGCAUUCGAUACUGGUUAGCUAGAGUGUGGGAGAGGAUGGUAGAAUUCCAGGUGUAGCGGUGAAAUGCGUAGAGAUCUGGAGGAAUACCGAUGGCGAAGGCAGCCAUCUGGCCUAACACUGACGCUGAGGUGCGAAAGCAUGGGGAGCAAACAGGAUUAGAUACCCUGGUAGUCCAUGCCGUAAACGAUGUCUACUAGCCGUUGGGGCCUUUGAGGCUUUAGUGGCGCAGCUAACGCGAUAAGU
rnacentral:rRNA from 1 species